rnacentral:rRNA from 1 species
GACGAACGCUGGCGGCGUGCCUAAUACAUGCAAGUCGAACGCACAGUUUAUACCGUAGCUUGCUACACCAUAGACUGUGAGUUGCGAACGGGUGAGUAACGCGUAGGUAACCUGCCUGGUAGCGGGGGAUAACUAUUGGAAACGAUAGCUAAUACCGCAUAAUAUUGAUUAUUGCAUGAUAAUUAAUUGAAAGGUGCAAUUGCACCACUACCAGAUGGACCUGCGUUGUAUUAGCUAGUAGGUGAGGUAACGGCUCACCUAGGCGACGAUACACAGCCGACCUGAGAGGGUGAUCGGCCACACUGGGACUGAGACACGGCCCAGACUCCUACGGGAGGCAGCAGUAGGGAAUCUUCGGCAAUGGACGAAAGUCUGACCGAGCAACGCCGCGUGAGUGAAGAAGGUUUUCGGAUCGUAAAGCUCUGUUGUAAGAGAAGAACGGGUGUGAGAGUGGAAAGUUCACACUGUGACGGUAGCUUACCAGAAAGGGACGGCUAACUACGUG